AUGCUGCAGUGGGCAGUGCAUAGGCAGGUGCUGCCAGACCUUGGCCUUGGUAAUGUGACCCCGAGGGCUUCCAUUUUUGCUAAUGAUGCGAUCCUCUUCUUCAAGCCUCAGUUCAAUGAUCUCCAAGUGGUUGCAGCCACUUUGCAGCUGUUUGGUCAGGUAUCUGGCCUUCGCAUCAACAUGCAGAAGAGCUCGAUCAUGUGCAUUCGCUGCGAUGAAGAACUUGCAUCCUCGGUGGCGCGGCACUUUGGCUGUCGAAAGCAGGGUUUUCCUAUCAAGUACUUGGGUCUGCCACUCUCGGUUUUCAGAUUGAAACGCCAGGAUAUUAUGCCUCUGGUGGACAGAUACUCCAACAAGAUGAAGGGUUGGAAACCAAAGCUCUUGCUGGCUGCGGGGUGA
rnacentral:rRNA from 1 species